CACACCCUCAGGGGGUGCGUGCACCCCAGGUUAAGAACCACUGCAUUAGUUAGUUACCAUGGCAAACUGGUGGUCAGACAUCAGCUGAUGUCACUAACUUAAAAUAUUCCAAGUGGAUAUAAAUUAGCAUCUUGUAGUUACCUACCAGCAGUUUUGUCAUUCAGCAUUCUAUAUUACGAUAUCUUAUGAUUUAGGGUUACUCUUUGUUAGCUACUUAUGCUAAGACUUUUUUGGGCCUUAUGUCUUGAUUAGUUUAGCUAGGCUAUUGUCUUACAAGCCUUGAGGCUCAUUGCAUUACUGCCUUUACUUAUACCUAUGCAUUACCUAGUAAAUACUUAUACCUAUAGGCUACAUCGGCCAAUGAUGGUUCCUGUUUCACUCUAGUUAUGACUUUUUACCUAUUGACUCUUCAGGCAGUCCACUUGGUUGCAUUGGUCAGAAAAUUUUUCAGACUUAAGAAUUAUGGAUACUGUAUAAUCACAUACAAUGUGUUGCAAUAAGAUUCAAGCAUCAAAGUCCAGAGGUGCACAUUUUCAUCCUGUUUAAUCCCAUGGAAGCCAAUGCACGGAAAAUCACAUGACCAAUGGCUGCUGGACUGUAUGUUAGCGAAGCUGGCCUACCUGUAUCUGGACCACAGAGUGGUGACCCUGGGGAGAAUUAUGAACCAUGGUUGUGUCUAGAAUAUUACUUUGAAGCUUGAGUUGUCCUUUCCGUGGAAGAAUUUAUCAAAGAAAAAUGAUCCACCGUCUUCAUUGCCUCAAGGGAUAAACUGGGUGUAGAUUCCAGCAGAGUUGCUGAGUAUAAACCCAGUUACCUUAUCACCAUGUCCAACAAAAGCCAAACCAGCAAAGAAGAAUUUUUGGGGAUGAUGAGGUUACCCUUGAGUACUAUUUACUGUAUAACAUAUUCUUAGGCCUCCAUACAUUGGAAAGGCAGGGAGGAGCAGUUGGCAUGUAGGGCACAUGGGCCGAGCAGUACACCUGGCCUAAAUGGAGAACUGUUGUUAUAUCUUGA